AUGGGGCUGGAGGGGCUUAAGAAAAGCUCAGCGUUUUGGAGGCGAAAGCAUCACCGUGAAGCUCCUCGUCACCGACCGUCAUGUACAAGGCAAAGCCUUCAUAAAGAAGUUAAAGUCUGAGAUUCGCCAUGAGUUCGACAUGUGGCACGUUUUGAAAUGCAUCAAGAAAGACCUUGUCGCGACCAUGAGGAGCCCCACGUGUGCCGAGCUUGCGCUCUAGAGAAGUCCAGUGCAGAACCACCUAUGCUGGGCGGCUGCUUCCAGCCAGGGAAAUCCGGACCCGAUUGUCAGUGGCUGUCCGUUCUAAACCACAUUCGUGACAUCCACAACCACACGGAUGCCCGAUUUUCCUCCUGUACCCACGAGAUUCAAACCAUCGUAACCAUGCGAUAUCUGCUGGCCGACUUGUCGAAACUCUCCACGCGCUACCAGACAUUCACCGUGGAGGCGUUUCAUGGGCUCUGGAAGAACUUCUGUCCCAAGUUAUACCAAUACUCGUACAAGGGGAUGACGGCAAGACCCCAGCUUGCAGUCCUCCAUUUCAACGAAAAUGGCAACCGACUUCAAGCGUCGACAGAGGAGGGUGACAAGUGCUAUGACGUGAAGCACCCCAAGGCCAAUGGAGGGGAACCAGUGGCAGUCAAAAAAAAAAGAGGGACGAACAUAUGAGACUAUGUCAGGAGGCUCCUUGAUGUGGUCAGGGAUGGGGCCCAGUUGAAAACUCGAGGCCUCAUCCUGAUCACGCCUUUCGAGGAUCUACCACAACUCUGCAGCUCUGCGAAGAAAGUUCCGAAGGCGGAGCUGAUAGAAAGGCAUAAAACAAGGUUCAACAAAUAA